rnacentral:rRNA from 1 species
GGUGAAGCUCCAAGCUUGCUUGGGGUGGAUCAGUGGCGAACGGGUGAGUAACACGUGAGCAACCUGCCCCAGACUCCGGAAUAAGCGCUGGAAACGGCGUCUAAUACUGGAUAUGAGAUCAGUCCGCAUGGGCAUGGUCUGGAAAGUUUUUCGGUCUGGGAUGGGCUCGCGGCCUAUCAGCUUGUUGGUGAGGUAAUGGCUCACCAAGGCGACGACGGGUAGCCGGCCUGAGAGGGCGACCGGCCACACUGGGACUGAGACACGGCCCAGACUCCUACGGGAGGCAGCAGUGGGGAAUAUUGCACAAUGGGCGAAAGCCUGAUGCAGCGACGCCGCGUGAGGGAUGACGGCCUUCGGGUUGUAAACCUCUUUCAGCAGGGAAGAAGCGAAAGUGACGGUACCUGCAGAAGAAGCACCGGCUAACUACGUGCCAGCAGCCGCGGUAAUACGUAGGGUGCGAGCGUUGUCCGGAAUUAUUGGGCGUAAAGGGCUUGUAGGCGGUUUGUCGCGUCUGCUGUGAAAAUCCGAGGCUCAACCUCGGACUUGCAGUGGGUACGGGCAGACUAGAGUGUGGUAGGGGAGACUGGAAUUCCUGGUGUAGCGGUGAAAUGCGCAGAUAUCAGGAGGAACACCGAUGGCGAAGGCAGGUCUCUGGGCCACUACUGACGCUGAGAAGCGAAAGCAUGGGGAGCGAACAGGAUUAGAUACC